rnacentral:rRNA from 1 species
CACCUGAUCCCUUCCAGAACUCAGAAGUGAAACCUCUUAGCGCUGAUGGUAUUGUGGGAUUACCCAUGUGAGAGUAAGUCAUCUCCAGCU